GACGAACGCUGGCGGCGGGCUUAACACAUGCAAGUCGAACGAAGUGGCGAACGGGUGAGUAAUACGUGGGUAACCUGCCCUCCUUUUUGGGAUAAGCCUUGGAACCGGGGUCUAAUACCGAAUAACGGGGGUUGGGCUCUCGGCCUAUCAGCUUGUUGGUGGGGUGAUGGCCUACCAAGGCGGUGACGGGUAGCCGGGCUGAGAGGGUGACCGGGAACAUAGACACGGAGAAGCCGCCCAGAGGACUAAGGGGGGCAGCAGUGUGCGAUAUGGCACAAUGGGCGAAAGCCUGAUGCAGCGACGCCGCGUGGGGGAUGAAGGUUUUAGGGUUUUAAACCUCUUGAGCUAGCGAAUGGGUAGGUGGAGAAGAAGCGCCGGCUAACUACGUGCCAGCAGCCGCGGUAAUUC
rnacentral:rRNA from 1 species